UCUAAGUUUGAUGGCGACCGGCGCACGGGUGAGUAACACGUAUCCAACCUGCCGAUGACUCGGGGAUAGCCUUUCGAAAGAAAGAUUAAUACCCGAUGGCAUAGUUCUUCCGCAUGGUAGAACUAUUAAAGAAUUUCGGUCAUCGAUGGGGAUGCGUUCCAUUAGGUUGUUGGCGGGGUAACGGGCCCACCAAGCCUUCGAUGGAUAGGGGUUCUGAGAGGAAGGUCCCCCACAUUGGAACUGAGACACGGUCCAAACUCCUACGGGAGGCAGCAUG
rnacentral:rRNA from 1 species